rnacentral:rRNA from 1 species
GCCUACGGGACGCAGCAGUGAGGAAUAUUGGUCAAUGGGCGAGAGCCUGAACCAGCCAAGUCGCGUGAGGGAGUACUGCCCUAUGGGUUGUAAACCUCUUUUGUCGGGGAGCAAAAGCCGGACGUGUCCGGCUGUGAGAGUACCCGAAGAAAAAGCAUCGGCUAACUCCGUGCCAGCAGCCGCGGUAAUACGGAGGAUGCGAGCGUUAUCCGGAUUUAUUGGGUUUAAAGGGUGCGCAGGCGGAGGUGCAAGUCAGCGGUCAAAUUGCGGGGCUCAACCCCGUACUGCCGUUGAAACUGCAUCCC